AUUCUGCUAAUUUUCAGAGAAGAUUGUUCCCCUACCCCCCUUGCAGCUGAACGUAGAGCUCUGCUAGGGCAUUCUCCAAGCAACCGUCGUUUCACUCUAAGGUCUCAUUCGGUUUUACUGCGCUGGUUUGGGUCGUCGUACCUUCCCCUUCUCAGUGAACUUCAGUGCUCCCAUUCAAGAUGUGAAAACCUCUGGCAGUGGUAAUAAUAGAGAUGUUGCGGUUUGAUGAUACCUUGGGAGACUAUCAGGCUCAUUAUGGGGGCCUCAGCGUUGGAGUUUAGUAGUAGUAGGAGUUUCUCUCGCUCUUGGCGAGUUUUUGUAUCUCGUUUAGGCAUGUGGAGCCUCUUUCUUUUGUUAUGGAUAUGUUGGAGUACUAUGUAUGUCAUAUUUCGUCUU